rnacentral:rRNA from 1 species
GUCUAUUUGAAGAUAUAAAUAGUCUGGUCUGCUCACUGACAAAUAAUUGUUUAAGAGCCGCGGUAUAUUGACCGUGCAAAGGUAGCAUAAUCAUUAGUUUUUUAAUUGGGAACUUGUAUGAAGGAUCGGACAAAGGAAAAGCUGUCUCUAUUUUAGAAAUUGAAAUUAACUUUUAAGUGAAAAGGCUUAAAUAAUUCAGGGGGACGAUAAGACCCUAUAAAGCUUUAUGUGUUAAUUAAGUUUAAUUGAAUUAUUAAACAAUAAUAAUUUGAUUUAGUUGUCAUAUUUUAUUGGGGCGAUAUAAGUAAAAUUUUUCUAACUACUUAGAGUUAAUACAAUGAUAGGUGGGAGAAGUUUUUAGUUGAUCCUUUGUUUAAGAUUAGAAGACUAAGUUACUUUAGGGAUAACAGCGUAAUUUCUUUUGAGAGUCCAUAUCGAAAAAGAAGUUUGCGACCUCGAUGUUGAAUUAAAAUGUCUGUAUGAUGUAGCCGUUAUAUAAGAUGGUCUGUUCGACCUUUAAAAUUUU